GGACUACCAGGGUUUCUAAUCCUGUUUGCUCCCCACGCUCUCGCGCCUCAGUGUCAGUAUUUGUCCAGGUAGCCGCCUUCGCCACUGGUGUUCCUUCCGAUCUCUACGCAUUUCACCGCUACACCGGAAAUUCCACUACCCUCUGCAAUACUCAAGCUUAUCAGUCAUCGUUGCAGUUCCUAGGUUAAGCCCAGGGAUUUCACAACAAUCUUAACAAACCACCUACGCGCCCUUUACGCCCAGUAAUUCCGAUUAACGCUCGCACCCUCUGUAUUACCGCGGCUGCUGGCAC
rnacentral:rRNA from 1 species